rnacentral:rRNA from 1 species
GACGAACGCUGGCGGCGUGCCUAAUACAUGCAAGUCGAACGCAGCGGGGACGGGUUAGUAACACGUGGGUAUCCUCCCAUCAGAGGGGAUAACACUUGGAAACAGGUGCUAAACCGAUCAUGAUGGAUUGACCCGCGGUGCAUUAGCUAGUUGGUGAGGUACCGGCUCACCAAGGCCACGAUGCAUCGCCGAUCUGAGAGGGGGAUCGGCCACGCUGGGACUGAGACACGGCCCAGACACUAGGGGAAGACAGCAGUAGUAAAUCUUCGGCAAUAGACGAAAGUCUGACCGAGCAACGCCGCUUGAGUGAAAGAGGUUGUCGGUUCGUAGAACUCUGUUGUUGGAUAAACGGGAUCAAGCCAGAAGGCCCCGGCUGGCUACGUGCCAGCAGCCGCGGUAAUAC